rnacentral:rRNA from 1 species
CCCUUAGAUGUUCUGGGCGGCCCGCGCACUACAUUGGCACUGGCAACAAGAUCCUAGAUCUGGUAUUUCGGGGUAUUCUACCAACUGGUGUCGUGACUGGGAUUAACCCCUGCAAUUAUUGGUUAUGAACGAGGAAUUCCUUGUAAUCACGGCUUAUCAACCCGUGUUGAAUGCGUCCCUGCCCUUUGUACACACCGCCCGUCGCUCCUACCGAUGAAUCGUCCGGUGAAGUUCAUGGAGUCGCGGCUGCUCCAGCUGUUUUCGAAGUGAAAUGGACCUCAUGAUUUAGAGGAAGGAGAAGUCGUAACA